GGUGAGGCGCGAAAGCGUGGGGAGCAAACAGGAUUAGAUACCCUGGUAGUCCACGCUGUAAACGAUGGAUACUAGGUGUGCGGGGACUGACCCCCUGCGUGCCGCAGCUAACGCAAUAAGUAUCCCACCUGGGGAGUACGAUCGCAAGGUUGAAACUCAAAGGAAUUGACGGGGGCCCGCACAAGCGGUGGAUUAUGUGGUUUAAUUCGAUGCAACGCGAAGAACCUUACCAGGGCUUGACAUCCUACUAACGAGGUAGAGAUACGUUAGGUGCCCUUCGGGGAAAGUAGAGACAGGUGGUGCAUGGUUGUCGUCAGCUCGUGUCGUGAGAUGUUGGGUUAAGUCCCGCAACGAGCGCAACCCUUAUUGUUAGUUGCUACGCAAGAGCACUCUAGCGAGACUGCCGUUGACAAAACGGAGGAAGGUGGGGACGACGUCAAAUCAUCAUGCCCCUUAUGUCCUGGGCUACACACGUAAUACAAUGGCGGCCAACAGAGGGAUGCAAAACCGCGAGGUGGAGCGAACCCCUAAAAGCCGUCCCAGUUCAGAUCGCAGUCUGCAACUCGACUGCGUGA
rnacentral:rRNA from 1 species